CACCAGCUCCGCAAGUUGCAAUCAUAAUUAUUGGGCCUAAAGCGUCCGUAGCCGGUCUAGUAAGUCUUUUGUGAAAUUGUUAUGCUCAACAUAACAGUAUGCAAAAGAUACUGUUAGACUAGGAACUGGGAGGAGUUAGGAGAAUUCCAAGGGGAGCGGUAAAAUGCUAUAAUCCUUGGAGGACUACCUGUGGCGAAAGCGCCUAACCAGAACAGAUUCGACGGUGAGGGACGAAAGCCAGGGGAGCAAACCGGAUUAGAUACCCCCGUA
rnacentral:rRNA from 1 species